rnacentral:misc_RNA from 1 species
UCAGGUGCCAGGGUGGAU